rnacentral:sRNA from 1 species
AAAACUCAGUGGGCUGUGUCUGUGGGAC